rnacentral:rRNA from 1 species
AUUGAACGCUGGCGGAAUGCUUUACACAUGCAAGUCGAGCGGCAGCGCGGGGCGACCUGGCGGCGAGCGGCGAACGGGUGAGUAAUGCAUCGGAACAUGUCCAUUCGUGGGGAUAGCCGGCGAAAGCCGGAUUAAUACCGCAUACGCCCUGAGGGGGAAAGGUGGGGACCGGCAAGGCCUCACGCGAUUGGGUUGGCCGAUGUCCGAUUAGCUAGUUGGCGGGGUAAAGGCCCACCAAGGCGAUGAUCGGUAGCUGGUCUGAGAGGAUGAUCAGCCACACUGGGACUGAGACACGG